rnacentral:rRNA from 1 species
GUCUACGGCCAUACCACCCUGAACGUGCCGGAUCUCAUCUGAUCUCAGAAGCUAAGCAGGGUCGGGCCUGGUUAAUAUUUGGAUGGGAGAAAGAAAGCCUGUUAGAAAUUCACAACAAAGCCUGGCCACAAUGGCUC